rnacentral:misc_RNA from 1 species
CUACAAGUGUCCAGCAGGAAAGCUUGGACGUCAACGGGUCAGCUACCGCUGCAUUUCAGUCACUUGAGGUACCCAAAGUCGCAUCUGGUCCGCAUAGCUCUGCUGGGGCACUGCAACUUUGUGAAGAUGAUUUCCUGGAAAUGGAUGAUCUCAUUGGUCCAGAACCUACUUCCUUGAACACUGAGAAGGCUGCAGAGAACUUGGGGUUUGACAAUUUUGGACUUAGCGAGCUUGAUCUGUACCAUGAUGCUGACCUGUUUUUGAGUGAAAUUGGGCCUGUUGCUCAAGACACAGUUUCACAUGUAAACGGAGUUGGUUACCCGUUGCAGUUCCAUUCAAUGGCAAAUCAGGUGGACUACCAAUUGCAGCCACAUUCAGCAGUAAAUGAUGUGGAUUACUUGCAGCCACAAGCAUUUGGUGCAGCUCAGCUAUGGGCAUUGCUUCUCUGAUCAUC